rnacentral:tRNA from 1 species
AAGGCUGAGUGGUAAAGCACUUGGCUUUCAACCUGGAAUCCCUGGUUCGAAUCCUGAU